rnacentral:misc_RNA from 1 species
AUCAUUGUUGUUGCAGACAUAGACAUUGACACCCAUCUUGGCCCCAAUCCUCUAAAACAAGCAGCAAAUCCACCCUCCUUUACCAAAUUCUUAACUGUUUGCGCAACUGUCAAUGGCUGUGUUCUUCCAUUUUGUUCUCCAUCCAAAACUUGCAUGCGUGUCUUAAUUGUGUCGAGUGGCAUGGUAAUCAUAGCUGAAACCCCACUAGCCAUGACUGCACAUAACCCC